UACGUAGGGGGCAAGCGUUGUCCGGAAUCAUUGGGCGUAAAGAGCGUGUAGGCGGCCCGAAAAGUCUGGUGUGAAAUCUCGGGGCUCAACCCCGAGCUGUCACUGGAUACUGUCGGGCUUGAGUCCGGAAGAGGAGUGUGGAAUUCCUGGUGUAGCGGUGGAAUGCGCAGAUAUCAGGAGGAACACCAAUGGCGAAGGCAGCACUCUGGUACGUGACUGACGCUGAGACGCGAAAGCGUGGGGAGCAAACAGG
rnacentral:rRNA from 1 species